rnacentral:lncRNA from 10 species
CAACCACCCAUCAACCUUCCAAACCAGCUUGUAUGUGAUUAGAAAGGAUAUUGGGGUCAGCUGAAGGCACAGCAGGAGUGGAAUGGCCAUUCCACUCAGGUUGGCAUGCUGAUCACCUCUCACCAAACAGUUCAGGGCCUAGGCCAAACCCUUCUCUUUCAGAGCCUAAGACUGCCCACCCAGGCCAUCCGUGCUCAGAAAACCUGAAGUUAAAUUAGUAAGGAGUUUGACAAAUUACUCAUUAUAACCAUCAAACCCCAAACUCUCCUUAGUUUUCUAGGAUGGAAGGUGAGAGCUCAGAUCUUAGCCCCACUUAUAUGAGGACUCACAGCAGAACAGACAGCAGCAAAGAAACAAGAAACCCAUAACUCCACCAAAUGGAUCCACUGGCAUGUAGAUCUCAGAUAAGGGGGAACUGCGGACUGAACUCUGACCACCAUUCUUUAUUCUAAAGUUCUUCCUGAAGGGCCUGGAGGAGGUCACGCUCAUGAGCCAGAGCUAACAGUCUUUUCUCCUGACCUCAACAUUUUUAACAAAGCUUCUCUUCCUUAACCAAUUGCAAAUCAGAAAAUCUUUGACUCUACAUAGACUAUGACCUAGAAGCCCCCACUUCAAGAUAUCCUGCCUUCGUGUAACCUCUCAAAACUAAUUUGUAGCCUCCAUGUAUUGAUUUAGGAUUUUGCUUGUAACUUCUGCCUUCCUGAAAUUUAUCCCUACCUUGAAAAAAUCCUACCUUCAAGCAAUCUGGGAAGUCAAGACUUGAGCAUUAGCUGCCUGAUCCUUCUUGCUUGGUGCCCUGCAAAGAAAGGCCUUGCUUUCUCCCACUGCAAAUUUUGGUGUGGAUAUCUGGCCUUACUAAACACAGUGAGUGGACCUUAGUUUGGUUUGAUAACAUCUUCCCUACCCACUGGGCCAGUGGUCCUGCCUCCACAGAUUUGGGCAGUCUCUCCCUGAUGGCUUUGCUGGGAAUAGCCAGUCCAAGGCACUCACAGGUUGGAGUUGUGUGCUUUCAGCUCUUCUGAGCUGGAAUCACACAGGUGGCUCUACCAUCUGGGGUCUCAGAGGUGACCCUGCCCCCAUGGAAGCUCUCUGCUUCAUCCCCAGCUCUCUGGAACAUACUUUGGAAUCUAGAUGGAGGCAGCCAUACCUCCGAAGCUUUGCUGGGUGCAGCACUUGCUGCACUUCAGGCCGCCAAGCAGCAUGGCAACCCAGCGCAGUGAGAGAAGCCUGAGAUGUGAGGUAACACAGGCACCAGGGAUUCCCCACCCUUGAUAUUGCUCCAGCCCCAGGCCCUGGCACUCUAGGCCUAUGAUAGGAGGGGCAAUCCCAGUGAUCUCUGAAAUGCCUUUGGGGACAUUCUUGCAUUGUCUUAGGAAUAUGUUCUGACUUCUGUUUAGACAGCUCACUAAUCUCCCCAUUGUCUUGAUA